UCCCUCUUAGGAUUGCACCUGGAGAGUUUCCAGUACUCUACUAGUCUCGGCUACAGGAGGGAGAGUCAAGCAGAGGCAUACCCAUUUGAUUACUAGCCUGUGCAGUGGCUAGAGAGUGGAAGGCAAUCUACAACAAGU